rnacentral:misc_RNA from 1 species
GUCUUUUGGUUAUUUAUAAAGGUGUAUAUAUUUAAAUAGUUUAAAGGUUGUUUAGGUAAUAAAAAAAGUUUGAGGCGCGGGGACUCUUGUAUAACAAAAGGCCCAACACCUCGAACAAAGAGCACAAUGGGGUGUAAGUCUAUAGAGAAAAAAGUAAAAAAACUGUUUUUCCUAUGAUGAUCCUUCCGCAGGUUCACCUACGGAAA